GACGAACGCUGGCGGCGUGCUUAACACAUGCAAGUCGAACGGAAAGGCCCUGCUUUUGUGGGGUGCUCGAGUGGCGAACGGGUGAGUAACACGUGAGUAACCUGCCCUUGACUGUGGGAUAACUUCAGGAAACUGGGGCUAAUACCGGAUAGGAGCUCCUGCUGCAUGGUGGGGGCUGGAAAGUUUCGGCGGUUGGGGAUGGACUCGCGGCUUAUCCGCUUGUUGGUGGGGUAGUGGCUUACCAAGGCUUUGACGGGUAGCCGGCCUGAGAGGGUGACCGGCCACAGUGGGCCUGAGGUACGGCCCAGACUCCUACGGGAGGCAGCAGUGGGGAAUAUUGCACAAUGGGCGGAAGCCUGAUGCAGCAACGCCGCGUGCGGGAUGACGGCCUUCGGGUUGUAACCCGCUUUCGCCUGUGACGAAGCGUGAGUGACGGUAAUGGGUAAAGAAGCACCGGCUAACUACGUG
rnacentral:rRNA from 1 species